rnacentral:misc_RNA from 1 species
UUUCCGUAGGUGAACCUGCGGAAGGAUCAUUAUCGAAAAGCAAUCCGGGGGGGAGGCGCCCGAGCGAAGUUUGGUAGAUCGUAGGGAUUGUCGCUGGCCUUUGGAAACGAAGGCAUGUGCACGUUCCGAGUUCUCCUUAGUCCUCCUUUGCCUUUCCUUUGGAAAACCCUUUCUUCACACCCGUGCACCCAUUGUAGGUCUCCGCGAGGGGGUCUAUGUCUUCACAUAAACACUACGUAUGUCUAGGAAUGUAUCUAAAAGCGUCGGACGGCUUGGCUUCGUGCCCGGUCGGCGACGGUAAAGAACCAUAAUACAACUUUCAGCAACGGAUCUCUUGGCUCUC